rnacentral:rRNA from 1 species
CGUCUAUAUACGUAUAGCAUAUCAAUAAGCGGAGGAAAAGAAACUAACUAGGAUUCCCUCAGUAACGGCGAGUGAAGCGGGAAGAGCUCAAAUUUGAAAUCUUCAAGGUUUACCUUGACGAAUUGUAGUUUAAAGAAGUGUUUUCUGUUGGAGUUUUGGUAAAAGUUCUUUGGAAUAGGACAUCAUAGAGGGUGAGAAUCCCGUAUUUGACCAUUAUUUCCAACUUUGUGAUACACUUUCAAAGAGUCGGAUUGUUUGGGAAUGCAGUCCAAAAUGGGUGGUAAAUUUCAUCUAAAGCUAAAUACUUGGCGAGAGACCGAUAGCGAACAAGUACCGUGAGGGAAAGAUGAAAAGAACUUUGAAAAGAGAGUUAAACAGUACGUGAAAUUGUCAAAAGGGAAGCGUUUGACACCAGUGUUGUUUUCCUCGAAAAUCAAUUAAAAAUGAGUUGGAUUUUGUGUUGUUAUGACCUUAUCAGCUUACUGUACUUUUUUCUUGCUUUUUUUAAUGCACUUUUCGUUUAACAAGUCAACAUCAAUUUCUUUUGUUGUAAAAGGGUCAUUGGAAGGUGGCUUUCACUUCGGUGAAAGUGUUUAUAGCCUUUGGCUUCUGCAAACGGAGAGAUUGAGGUCUGCAGCGUAGAUCCUUCGGGGUUAGAUACGUAGAUGCUAAGUUAUAGUUUUUUAUAGACAACUUGUUGACUAUGAUUAAUCAUGUAGCUUACUCGUUUGCGCUAUUUUACCUACGCUUAGGAUGUUGACACACGCGCGUGCUCG